rnacentral:rRNA from 1 species
GAUGAACGCUAGCGGCAGGCCUAAUACAUGCAAGUCGAGGGGUAGAAGAGGCUUGCUUCUUUGAGACCGGCGCACGGGUGCGUAACGCGUAUGCAACCUACCUUCAUCUGGGGGAUAGCUCGGAGAAAUCCGGAUUAAUACCGCAUAAAAUCACAGGAUGGCAUUAUCCAAUGAUCAAACACUUAUGGGAUGGAGAUGGGCAUGCGUGUCAUUAGCUAGUUGGCGGGGUAACGGCCCACCAAGGCGACGAUGACUAGGUGAUAUGAGAGGAUGGCCCCACACCCUGGUACUGAGACCCGGACCAGACUCAUACGGGGGGCAGCAGUAAGGAAUAUUGGUCAAUGGAGGCAACUCUGAACCAGCCAUGCCGCGUGCAGGAAGACUGCCCUAUGGGUUGUAAACUGCUUUUAUUCGGGAAUAAACCUUAUUACGUGUAAUAAGCUGAAUGUACCGAAGGAAUAAGGAUCGGCUAACUCCGUGCCAGCAGCCGCCGUAA